GAUGAAGAACGUAGCGAACUGCGAUAAGUAAUGUGAAUUGCAGAAUUCAGUGAAUCAUCGAGUCUUUGAACGCACAUUGCGCCCCCUGGCAUUCCGGGGGGCAUGCCUGUCCGAGCGUCAUUGCUGCCCUUCAAGCCCGGCUUGUGUGUUGGGUCGUCGUCCCCCCCGGGGGACGGGCCCGAAAGGCAGCAGCGGCACCGCGUCCGGUCCUCGAGCGUAUGGGGCUUUGUCACCCGCUCGAUUAGGGCCGGCCGGGCGCCAGCCGGCGUCUCCAACCUUCUAUUUUACCAGGUUGACCUCGGAUCAGGUAGGGAUACCCGCUGAACUUAAGCAUAUCAAUAAGCGGAGGA
rnacentral:misc_RNA from 1 species